CGUUACUGAGGAGUCCCACAACAGGACGAAACGGCCGUCAAGG
rnacentral:hammerhead_ribozyme from 1 species